CCGGGCUCCUGCUCACUGGUUGCAAAACUCAGCUUUACCCCGGCAGAGAGCUUCCCUUCCCGGGGUCCGCUGGGGAAGCGUCCGCGGCUUGUGGUGGCUGUGGUUUGGUGCCCAGGACCCACACGUAAAAGGACCUCAUUCGGAGGCAGGGGCACGCGCUUGUCCCCAGAACUCAAACCCCGGAGUCCCUCCGGCAGAUGAUAAUGGAGGCUGUAAAUCACCCUCUAUGCAAUGGCUCAUCAUAAAGGAUACGGAGCAAAAUUAGAGGAGGCACGAGAAGGAAAGCCGGUGAUGAACAAGUUAUUGUUCUGAUAGAAUAUCAGCUGGGAGCUACUAAGGACAUCCUCACUACCCUCCCUUGGAAGAGUUUGUCUGCAAUGGAGCCAACACAGUGGAAAGCAGAGCUGCAAAAUGGACAAAAAACUCCUGAUGCCUCAUCUGAGCACCUGGAUUUAGCCACGCCUGAAGCUAUUAUAUCCUUGAACUUUUGAAUCAUGUAGGUUACUAUAAUUCCUUUUUUGUUAAAGCUAAUUUGAGUUGGGUUUCUAUCACUUGCAAUCAACAAUUGACCAGGUGCUUAGUAGAUAAUGAGUGACUGAAUGAACAAAUUCAAUUCUGUAAGUAUUUGUCAUCUCCUUACGUGGCAGGCACUGUUUUAAGUCCCAAAGAAAGAGGCAGAGGAGCGACAGAGAUGACUUCCUCCCUUGAGAACGAAGCAUGUGGCCUGACAACCUAAAAUUUGGGUCAAUCCAUCCAAUUAUGGUGACUGCUUAGAAAUAUCCCUUUUCCUCCCAAUCUUUUCCUUUCCUUCUCCCAUAAACAUAAUUAUGGCUCCUGCCAGUACUAAGGCAUGGCCCAUGGACCCACUAACACCCAUGCUCACAUUAGCUCUUGAGGCCGAGUGGCUUGGUUCUAUCUGGUUAUCAGAUGCAAACUUCAUCACAGCAGGGAUUUGGGCUAGACAUUAGAGAAAUAGUGUGGUACCAGAUGGUGUUUCUGAAGAAGGUUGUCCUAUUUUUGCAGUUUAAGGAUUUGAUAAUAAAUCUGCCUGGCAGCCCUCAGAUGUGAUUUGGCCUUGAAAUCGUCUCUGUUAAUCCUUGAUGCUGUGUGUAUCUGUCAAGGUCCAACCAGGAAAAACAGAACCUGCUCUAAGUAUCUAAACAAAAGGAAUUUAAUGUAAGGAGCUGAUUGCACAGAUGAAGGAAGGGGCUGGGAGGCAAACAACAGGGAACUGUGAGGUAACCCAGGGAUGUGCCACAGCAGGAAGACACGACCACUACUAGGAUAGAGAGGUAAAAAAUAAAGAAAUUAAAAAAAGAGGUGGUGUUACUUGUAUUCAGGAGGUGGAGUCAUCCAGAGGAGGCUGAAGCCAUGGCAGGUCUGUGUGGCAGAAGCUG